rnacentral:rRNA from 1 species
GACAGAGGGUGCAAACGUUGUUCGGAAUUACUGGGCGUAAAGCGCGUGUAGGCGGCUCUGCAAGUCGGGUGUGAAAUCCCAUGGCUCAACCAUGGAAGUGCACUCGAAACUGCAGGGCUAGAGUCCUGGAGAGGAAGGUGGAAUGCUUGGUGUAGAGGUGAAAUUCGUAGAUAUCAAGCGGAACACCGGUGGCGAAGGCGGCCUUCUGGACAGUGACUGACGCUGAGACGCGAAAGCGUGGGGAGCAAACGGG